GAAUAAAUUAAUUGACAGCAUUUCCAAGACAUUGUCUUAAGUGACAUGGAUCCCGUUAUAGUAAAUGUUAUGUUGAUACAGCAAUCGAAGUGGAUUCUCAGGAACACCUCUUUUUGCUGUAUUGGAAUCUUUGUAACAUCUCAGUGAUAGACAACUCACUGACAUCAGGUGCUGUUGUGCAAAAAAUGUUAACAGGUAAAAUCUGUGGAAAAAUCUUUACAUUUGUUAUACUUUGUAUAAUAAUGAUAGAUGAAAUAGUAACAUAGUUAAUCUUUCUAGUGUUUUUGUAUUAGAGAUAAACACCCUUGUAUAUGAUUUAGAUAUAUAAGGAUAAUUUGAAGCAGCAAAGUAUUUAC